rnacentral:misc_RNA from 1 species
UAAAGCAAACGUUUCUGCCUAGCCCCAGGUUGUGAAUAUGGAUAAAUGGCAUAAAAUUUUUUUUACAACAAUCAACAAUGUUAAAUGUUUAGUUGUUUUUUUCUUAAAGGCUGCGGAGGGUGAUGGAGUGUAGAUAGUUAACGGUAGUAUGUACUUUCAAUCUAGAAAUGCGUUUGCCUAUAGUACUAAAUUGUAUCCAAAAAAAAGAGAGGUUUGGUUUUUGAAAAACAACGCAAUUGCCUAUGAUUGCUCUCAAUAAAGCUGACCAAUGAAUUGUCAAUUAGAUGCCUCUGGCAAGCCUCAGAGCUGAUGUUUGAACAUAGAGAAGAUCAUGGAAUUUGGUUUUGAGGAGAAACAUGUUGGACCUGUUAUGG